AUUGAACGCUGGCGGCAUGCCUUACACAUGCAAGUCGAACGGCAGCGCGGGAGCAAUCCUGGCGGCGAGUGGCGAACGGGUGAGUAAUACAUCGGAACGUGCCCAAUCGUGGGGGAUAACGCAGCGAAAGCUGUGCUAAUACCGCAUACGAUCUACGGAUGAAAGCAGGGGAUCGCAAGACCUUGCGCGAAUGGAGCGGCCGAUGGCAGAUUAGGUAGUUGGUGAGGUAAAGGCUCACCAAGCCUUCGAUCUGUAGCUGGUCUGAGAGGACGACCAGCCACACUGGGACUGAGACACGGCCCAGACUCCUACGGGAGGCAGCAGUGGGGAAUUUUGGACAAUGGGCGAAAGCCUGAUCCAGCCACGCCGCGUGAAGGAUGAAGGCCUUCGGGUUGUAAACUGCUUUUGUACGGAACGAAACGGUCUUUUCUAAUAAAGAAGGCUAAUGACGGUACCGUAAGAAUAAGCACCGGCUAACUACGUG
rnacentral:rRNA from 1 species